GUGCCCCCACACUGCCUCACGUACCACAGGAACCAGAGAGCAGAGACUUCAUGAGGCUCAGACGUGACGUUGACAUUCACAAAGAAGGUGGCAAAUUCUUUAACAGCUCUGCAUAAGACACAGGACCAGAAACUGGCAGGAGCUUAUCAGGCACAUCACUUCCAAAGUCUGACGAGUCCUGAGGGACUCAACUAACCAUGCAACCAGGACAUUCCCCAUCUCCCACGUGAUGCUGCUGCACAGACCUUUCAUGAAACCAAGAAUCAGACACGGUGUGUUAAAAGUUUGCGUGGGGUCACGUGGCAGGAUGCAGGGAACAUGUUGGACCAUGACAGGACUCCUAGGCAUCUUACUGCAGGACUGAACACAGAGCUGUUUUCCAAUGGUUAAUCAUGAUGACUACUGCAUGUUUCCAGGAUGCGUUCACCCUGUGAAAAUGGUUUAGGUUUUCUGCUUCUAAAUGUUAUAGAAAAUAUAUUGCUUAAAUUGUAAUAUAUCAUGAAACUGCCUGCAGCUUCCAAAACGAUCGGGACUGCUCACUAUUGCUGACUUGUUUCUUAUAUGUGAUCUAAUUUAUUUCAGUAGUUCUUGAUUAUGUUUUUCCUGCAUGGAAGUCCAUAGAAAAUAUUUUACAAUUUUUUUUAUAGUUAAUUCUUUAAUUCUUUCCGUGAUGGUGUUCUCCCUAAACAUAAACAUAGAAGACACAAGUCUAUAAUG